rnacentral:rRNA from 1 species
GACGAACGCUGGCGGCGUGCUUAACACAUGCAAGUCGAACGAUGAAGCCGGAGCUUGCUCUGGUGAAUUAGUGGCGAACGGGUGAGUAACACGUGAGUAACCUGCCCUUGACUCUGGGAUAACUGCUAGAAAUGGUAGCUAAUACCGGAUACGACCCUCGGUGGCAUCACCAGGGGGUGGAAAGCUUUUGCGGUGUGGGAUGGGCCCGCGGCCUAUCAGCUUGUUGGUGGGGUAAUGGCCUACCAAGGCGACGACGGGUAGCCGGCCUGAGAGGGUGACCGGUCACACUGGGACGGAGAUACGGCCCAGACUCCUACGGGAGGCAGCAGUGGGGAAUAUUGCACAAUGGGCGCAAGCCUGAUGCAGCGACGCCGCGUGAGGGAUGACGGCCUUCGGGUUGUAAACCUCUUUCAGCUAUGACGAAGCGCAAGUGACGGUAGUAGCAGAAGAAGGACCGGCCAACUACGUGCCAGCCGCCGCGGUAA